UACGGAGGGUGCAAGCGUUAUCCGGAUUCACUGGGUUUAAAGGGUGCGUAGGUGGGCAGGUAAGUCAGUGGUGAAAUCUCCGGGCUUAACCCGGAACUGCCGUUGAUACUAUCUGUCUUGAAUAUCGUGGAGGUGAGCGGAAUAUGUCAUGUAGCGGUGAAAUGCUUAGAUAUGACAUAGAACAUCAAUUGCGAAGGCAGCUCGCUACACGGUUAUUGACACUGAGGCACGAAAGCGUGGGGAGUCAAACAGGAAU
rnacentral:rRNA from 1 species